rnacentral:rRNA from 1 species
GCAGUAGGGAAUCUUCGGCAAUGGACGAAAGUCUGACCGAGCAACGCCGCGUGAGUGAAGAAGGUUUUCGGAUCGUAAAACUCUGUUGUUAGAGAAGAACAAGUGGUAGAGUAACUGUUACCACCUUGACGGUAUCUAACCAGAAAGCCACGGCUAACUACGUGCCAGCAGCCGCGGUAAUACGUAGGUGGCAAGCGUUGUCCGGAUUUAUUGGGCGUAAAGCGCGCGCAGGCGGUUCUUUAAGUCUGAUGUGAAAGCCCUCGGCUCAACCGAGGAAGGUCAUUGGAAACUGGGGAACUUGAGUACAGAAGAGGAAUGUGGAACUCCAUGUGUAGCGGUGGAAUGCGUAGAUAUAUGGAAGAACACCAGUGGCGAAGGCGACAUUCUGGUCUGUUACUGACACUGAGGCUCGAAAGCGUGGGGAGCAAACAGGAUUAGAUACCCUGGUAGUCCACGCCGUAAACGAUGAGUGCUAGGUGUUGGAGGGUUUCCGCCCUUCAGUGCCGCAGCUAACGCAUUAAGCACUCCGCCUGGGGAGUACGACCGCAAGGUUGAAACUCAAAGGAAUUGACGG